UACGAAGGUCCCAAGCGUUAUCCGGAUUUAUUGGGUUUAAAGGGUGCGUAGGCGGGCUAUUAAGUCAGUGGUGAAAGCCUCAAGCUUAACUUGAGAAUUGCCAUUGAUACUGAUGACCUUGAGUACAUUUGAAGUGGGCGGAAUGUGUCAUGUAGCGGUGAAAUGCUUAGAUAUGACACAGAACACCGAUUGCGUAGGCAGCUCACUAUGGUAUUAUUGACGCUGAGGCACGAAAGCGUGGGGAUCAAACAGG
rnacentral:rRNA from 1 species